rnacentral:rRNA from 1 species
AUUGAACGCUGGCGGCAGGCCUAACACAUGCAAGUCGAGCGGAUGAAGGGAGCUUGCUCCUGGAUUCAGCGGCGGACGGGUGAGUAAUGCCUAGGAAUCUGCCUGGUAGUGGGGGAUAACGUCCGGAAACGGGCGCUAAUACCGCAUACGUCCUGAGGGAGAAAGUGGGGGAUCUUCGGACCUCACGCUGUCAGAUGAGCCUAGGUCGGAUUAGCUAGUUGGUGGGGUAAAGGCCUACCAAGGCGACGAUCCGUAACUGGUCUGAGAGGGUGAUCAGUCACACUGGAACUGAGACACGGUCCAGACUCCUACGGGAGGCAGCAGUGGGGAAUAUUGGACAAUGGGCGAAAGCCUGAUCCAGCCAUGCCGCGUGUGUGAAGAAGGUCUUCGGAUUGUAAAGCACUUUAAGUUGGGAGGAAGGGCAGUAAGUUAAUACCUUGCUGUUUUGACGUUACCAACAGAAUAAGCACCGGCUAACUUCGUG